rnacentral:misc_RNA from 1 species
GUGAAUCAUCAAAUUUUUGAACGCAAAUUGCGCCUUCUUUCGGGAGGCAUGUCUGUUUGAGGGCACCAUUUAACAAAUAAUGUGCGGGUCGCUAUGCGGCGUGCACACGGUGAUGAGCUUUUCCGUAAAACCAGGUUUUUUUGGGGGCGAAUAUUGAACAGCUUGGGGUUUUUUUUUUGUUUCUCGUGUAGUUAGUAAAUUUUCCACGCUUGGUUUGAGAAAUAGUGCUAGCUGCGCCAUGGGCGUGGCG